AUUUUUUAAAACAUCCUACCCUUCACCGCUACACACCAAAAGAAGUUCCCAAGAACUCAUCCAUCCAUAGCACACCAAUACAUAUGUGGACAAGCCACCAAUUUGCAAACAAGCUACCACUACUCAUAGUUGUGGUCAAGCCACCAAAAUUAUAGACAAGCUACUGAAACAGAUAUGUGGUUAAACCACUAAUUAAGUCAUCCUGGGUUGUCCGACAAUGAUGACCCGCCACCCCAGAUUGCCUGCCAAUGAUGGCUUAUCAAAAUGUAGUUAAACUGCCAACACUUCCUCCUUACAAAUUGUCCCAACCUCAUGUAAUGCAUCAUGG
rnacentral:lncRNA from 1 species